UGUUUAUUUCUCUUAAGCUUCCAGUUUAUAAACCACCUGUUUAUUAGUUCCUUCCUUUCUUGCCUUUCUAGGAACUAUUGUCGAGGGCAUUCGUUAUCUUUCCAAUAGUUAUUAUCUCCUCCUGCCAAUCACAUUGCAGAUAUAAAAUGUUUAGUUCCUGCGGAUUCUUAUUUUGCAAUGUUUAAGUUGUUUGAUUUAAAUAAUUUUUAUAACCGAAAUGCAUAAAUGAAUGAAUUCGGCUUCUCAUUGGAUUAAAUAUUUAGACCGAUAUACUUGCCUUCACAUGGAACGAGGCGGGCUUUGGAUGUUGCCUGCAGGGUUGGAGUGUUUGGCAUUCUGUAGAUGGUGGAGAUGGAGACAGUGCAGAGCAGAGUCCAAAGCAGGGCCCUCAAAACAGGGCAAGCAGUUGGCAUUUGGGGCCGAGGCCAUACGACAUGGAGGUGCGUCUGGAGACAGAUGGCUAUGGAGGCUUUCGUUUUGGGCGUGCAGGCCAUAGUAACUGUUGCUGCGCAGCUUUGGCAGGGUUUUGAGGCGAGGAACAAGGGUUGUAGACAUAUGGCUCUUAGAGUUUUUGUUUGCAUGCAGGCCAGAGAACAUGUUGCUACACAGGUGGAAGAUGAUAGUGAAAGAAUAUUUAUAAAUGUAUGAUGCCACACUUUUAGAGUUCAGCUGUCCUGGAGCUCGACGUCGCCUUUUUACCUUCAGCGAUUCUUCAGGGAAAUAUUCUCUGUUCUGGUAUUUGCGGAACCCGUUGAGCAAAACGUGUGUAUAGAUUAUUUUUCUCUUUGUAACUUGAUGGGCAUCUGGAUCUGUAAGUUUAUUUCUUUCCCCUACAUCUCAUUGUUGUAGUUGUAUUAGGGUUUAUGGUAGUUCAUUUCAGUUAGCCAUUUUGUCAAUGCACUUGUCUUGCAUCAUCCAUAUUCCUUUCAUUUUCAGAGAUUCAUCUGUUGGUUUCAGUUUGCCAUCAAUGUCAGAAUCAGGCCUUUCAUUUUUGCACGCACAGGCCAACUUCCCUUGCCAAAGUGGGGGGAAGUGUUGUCAAGGGUUCCAAUGAUAACAUCUGUGUAAAUCCCUAACGUCCUUAUCCCAUUCCAGAUCUCCCAAAUUCAAUUAGGCAAACAAAAUGUUUGGAAAAUAUAAUAUCGUUUGGUGUUGUUGGUCUUCUUUUUUGUGCAUUUCUGGUGGAAAAUUGUCUAUCGAGGUAUAUUUCUACGGACUACGUAUUCAUACAGAAAAUCAUGGUCGUUGUACCAAGACAACAUGUAGUUCUUGGGCUAUGUGCUUAUCAUGACUGAUGAAUAUAUGUAUAAGGAAUAUUUGGGACAAAAUUAGUGUAGGUAGCUGUAAGAAUACAAUGACUUCUUGUUUAAAAUUUGUGAUCUGAAACAUAACAUUUGCUAUCUUUCUUAAUUUUUUCUUUUAGAGUUGCCUUCAUAGCUGUAGGUUGAGAAUGUAGAUACAAGUACUCCUGCAAAGUAUCUGAUGUAGGCUGAAGGUGGCUUGACAAAUUCAAUGUGUAUGCUAAAAAUAGAGCAUUCCAUGGAGGAGGGUAUUUAAAAUUCAAUUUCAUUUGCUACAGCUUCAAGGUAGAGCACUUAGCUACCAAUAUAUCUGCUUGUCACUACUGGAAUGAGUUCAUUCAAAUCUAGUUUCUGCCAUGGCAUAUAUCCACCGUGAACAUACAACUACCAAAUCUCAUUCUAAACCGUUCUUUGGCUUAUUGUGGGUCCUCCAAUUUUUAACUUAAACUUUUCCGCCCUUUCUACUCGAUUGUUGAACACGCAUAACACUCUAUUUGGAUACAACUGUUUGUGAGGCCUCUGAUUUUUGUAAUGCAUAACAUAUUGUGAAGAUGUAUUUUGUUUUUGAAAUUCAAUGGCAGAAUCGAGAGUAACACAGACAACAAUGAUGCCAUUAAUUGUGGUAAUAUUGAGCGUGGUCAUGGCUGCUAUGGGAAAGUACCAGAAUUUCAAAUAUAUCUAAAAUUUAAAGCCUCUUUCACUUUUAGUAACUGUUUGGAUUUCAAUCUAUUUUUUUCUUUUGGAUUUCAAUUGUUCUUCUCAUUGGAUUUGUAGUUUUUUCAGAUGGAUUGUUCUUCCAUGGCUACCAACAGGGGUGCAAUGGUAGGCAAUAGUAAUCCUACAGCCAAUCCAUCAUCACCGAGAUGACUUGCAAUGAUUUCUAUGUAUCAUGAUCUGAGCCAUUUUUUGCAAUAUUAUGCUGGAGCUCGCAAGGUUUAUUGCGGAAAGAAAACUAAAAUUAACAUAUGGCUGCAAUUAGUUGAAUCGUCUUGCAUCCUUUUUAUUAAUUCUUAACCAUUGAUAGUAAACAAUUGGUCAGUCCAUCUCAAAUAGGAUACGCCUUCCGCGUAAUUAGUAGUUUCAGGGAUUUAUAAAACAUGAAUUCCAAGAAAAGAUACAGCUAGAAUAAAUGAUAAGAUAGAUGUUCAAGUAUUCUGGGGUUGUCCUGUGUGAAGUUUACAAUUCACAAACAUGAAUUACAAGGUAUGUAGACAUUUUUUAUGAUGGAUUCUAAUGUGCUUAUUUACUUUGUGUAUCAGUAAGAGUUUUUUCCCCUUUUCUUCUCACGAGGGAGUCUGUCAAUCUGAUCCCAUGUAUUUUGUGCUUGAAGAUCUCUGUAGCUUGGCUUAUUGAUUGUUUUAUAUUUACCUUGGAAUGUGCAUAUUGCAGUGAAUUUGAGUAUUACAGUGAAUUUGAUUUAUCGGUAAUGCAGUCGCUGCAACAGAAAGCUUUGGAAUGGAGAGGGUAGCUCUAGAAGAUGCAUUUGCCAUAUAUAAUACCAAUUUAUACCAAAGGCUUGGAUAUUAGACCGUAAACAAUUUUUAAUUUUUUUAUGACAUGUUAGUUCAAUUAUAACUUUUUUAUUUCCGUUUAUUUGCUGGAUUUUUUCACUGUAGCUACAGCCAGACUUGGGUAUUCAAUUGGAAAAAAAACUAUAUUCCAACAUUCAAACUUUUGAAAUUUGAACACCCAUUUCGGAAGAUUGCAUUAUAUUUUUUGAUGCAGUUACAAGUUGCAGGAUGUGGACUGAUAUCCAUGAUUGGGAAGUAUCAAGCUUCUCAGGAUCUUCACUAAGAUGCUAAAAAAAACUAGUAGCAUCUGUCAUCUGAGAAUAUAUAACAGGAUGGGUAUUUGUUUUGCUAUAAAGUAGGAUUUGGAUAAUUAUCUUGCUUAUUGGCUUGGUAAUCAUUUUUUGACCACUGUACUACUAUCCUCUGAGUUAUCCAAUGCAUUUUCUGAAUUUGGUAGAAGAAUUCAAAUUUUAUCACA